UAUAUUGGACAAUGGGCGGAAGCCUGUUCCAGCCAUGCCGCGCGUGUGAAGAAGGUCUUCGGAUUGUAAAGCACUUUAAUUUGGGCGGAAGGGUCUGCACCUAAUAUGCUUGAACUUUCACUUUACCAAAAGAAUAAGCCUAGGCUAACUUCGUGCCAUGACCCGCGGUAAUACGAAGGGGGCAAUCGGUAAGCGGAAUUAAUAGGCGUAAAGCGCGCGUAGGUUGUUUGUUAAGUUGGAAGUGAAAGCCCCGGGCUCAACCUGGGAACUGCUUUCAAAACUGGCAAGCUAGAGUAUGGCAGAGGGUGGUGGAAUUUCCUGUGUAGCGGUGAAAUGCGUAGAUAUAGGAAGGAACACCAGUGGCGAAGGCGACCACCUGGGCUAAUACUGACACUGAGGUGCGAAAGCGUGGGGAGCAAACAGG
rnacentral:rRNA from 1 species